rnacentral:lncRNA from 10 species
CCUCGGACGACUUGGCGCUCCGGGACAGCAGCAGACGCCCAAGCUCCGGCAGCGCAGAGCCCCGCCGGGGGCCCGGGGGGCUGGGAGCCGGGGAUCGCGGGGACGGAAGUGGGGGACCGAGUCUCGCGAGCCCGGGCCCUCCUCGCAGCUGGGGCCCCACUGGCGCCCCCGCGGGAGCGCUACGGGAGAGGCGCCUAUGCGGCUGCAGGUUUUAUUAUGGAGCUGUCAAGGUAGAAAGAGUUUGACUCUUCCACAAUAAUUUGGCACCCAGCGUGGGGCCUCAGAGAAGACUCAGGACCCCAAAGGAGUUGCCUGAACUCGGAGCGAAGAUACCAGUGGGGCCCAUUGAAGCCUCCCAGACUUCUAGCUUCUCCCCCGAUGGAACUGGUUAAGUUCUCCUGAGCCCCAGAUCGCCCUUUGGUUGACAGUCCUUCGUUUAGUGUGAGCUGGUUUUUCUCCUAGGAAGUUGUUGUUUAAGGAUUCUAAUUCUAGUUCAGAGACACAUUCUAAAGGGUUUUCUUUAUUGCUUUUUCUCCCAAAAUUAAUCUUGAUUCGGCUUGUCUGCGCAUUUGUGUGAGGAAUUGAACUGUUGUUUUCAUAGGUAAAUGAGAGACUGAGUUUUCUCAACUCCAAAGAGAAAGGCAUUUGCUCCUCCCAGCCAAAACGUGCUCCUGGGUGACUGGGGGCCUUGUGGGAGUGUCUGGGGGGGGGUUGACAUCCUGUGACAUGCAGCAGCCCUAUGGGGAAAUCCCCAACAAAAAUUAAUUUUAAAAAUGGCUUGUCCAGGAAUGCAUAUAAGGACUGAUCACCCAUCAUUUUGAGCCCUCUCAAAGGUAAUAGACCUCUGGAGAGAGAAACUGAGACAUGUAACAGGGUGGAAACAACUCAGUGGUGACACAUGGUGGGGUCCUGCCCACAAGCAGCACACAUUGAUCCACCACACAAAAACCCUAGGCCACAGCUCAGUUCCUACUUCUAAGAAAAAAAAAGGUGGGAAACAAAUGAUCUAAGAAUGAGGAGAAAACAAGGAGAAUGACCUCAUUUCGGGCACUCUGUUGGUUUUAUGGUGCGUCUACUUGCCAGAGCUUAUGUAAAAUGGAAAUAUAAUGAUCCUUGUGCACAUUUACAUUAAGGAAAAGAGCCCUAAGGUCAACCUGUACACUAUAGAGUUCCUAAGUUCUCUUCUUCUCUAUAUUUUCUGCCUGCUUUAAAUCUGCUUUUACUUUUGUACUGAAAUUAAAAACCACUGUUUGGAUCUAACCUAUUUUUCUUUUUCUUUGUUUUCUUGUUUUUUUUUUUUUUUUUUUUUUUUUUUUUGCAAGCUGGGGAAUUUGUAUUUAUCUCAUGGCUAAAGUUCUGAAGUAAAAGCUAUAGGAUCUGUGUGUGUGUGUGUGUGUGUGUGUGUGUGUGUGUGUGUGUAUUUAAAAGGAUUUUAUAAUAGACUUCUAUAAUUUUGUUUAAAUGGCAAAUUAAAUCCAUUUUAAUUUCCCUCUAGCAAACCAGACUGUCUCUUGGUACUUUGAGAUGUAAAUUUUGCUAUCUGAUUUUUCACCUAAGAGUUGUUUCCUUUAAUAUGCAAAUGUAGGACUAUUUAGCUGACAACUGCCCAGGGUGAUGAAACAGGCUAUCAUGAAUUUAAAAGUCUAAGGGAAAAAGAGGUCUUACAAAUACAUAAGAUGUACUUCUAUUGCCAUGCCUAAUACGCUAUGCAUUUAUGUGUUGUGUACACAAUGUGUCACUACUAAAAAUAUGUAAAAGAGCUCUAAUUAGCUUAAGUAAAAAUAAAAGCACUUAAAUACUUGAUCAAAAAAUACUAAUCAAUGCUUUUCAAGUUCACGUGACAAGUAAAAUAUUUAAUAAAUAAACUGUCUUUAAAAUCAUUGGUAAAAAAAAUUAAAAUGUUCUAAGAAUUGUUAGUAUUUUUGUUUGCAUUUAUUGAUCAAGUAGCUUCAUGCUUAUUCCUUCAGAAUACUAUAAGAUUAGCCAUAGGGUUAUAAAACUAUAAAACCCAGCCCAAGACAGAAUGAUCUUUGCUUGUAUAAUUUUUGAUAAAUAAGACAUGGAAUAUGGUUGGUUUAAUGAAAACAGCUAAAUCAUGAGUUACUGGAAAAAAUACUCUUAUAUUUAAUCAUAAGUUCAUUAUUGAAGUAAACACCUGAAAUUCACAGCUAUAAAAAUGGUUAACAGGGAAAUAACUUCAAUAAUGACUGUCACAGUUUUUGUUAAUAAUCCAGGUAAACAAAUAAAUUAAUCAGGUAAAGGUAAUGGAAUAAGUGUUUGUAAACAAACGUCAUAUAAUUUAGGACCUCAGGUUAUUAAUAAGUAUUAAGUAUCUGGGUAAUUUCCAAUUUAAAAAUUAUAGAAAAACUUUUUUUUAAAUGGUAAAUAUCUUUUUCUAAUUCAAAGCUUAUUUAAAGGUUAUGUAUAAAACAAGGUAAAAGGAACUAGGAAAUAAGAGAUGUAGAGAAACAUAAGACAUAAAGAGGUAAUUUUUGGUAAAGAAGGUAAAAAGGAAAGUGAUACUAUAUAAGAAAGAAUCUUGUGUAGCGAAUUUUUGUCCUAAAAUAAAAUGACUAGGUUGUUCAAGAAAGAUAUUUAGGACAGAACAGAAAAUUUAAGCAUGUUGUGAAUGGUCUAUGUAAGUUGUAAUAAGGUUAGUAAAAGGAAUUUGUUUAAAAAAAAAAAGAUUGUAUAAUGCAGUUGGCUAUGAUUAAGAAGAAAUUAUAGUAGUCUUUCUAGAGAUGGGUCUUUGAUAUUUAAAAAA